AGGACGAACGCUGGCGGCGUGCUUAACACAUGCAAGUCGAGCGGAAAGGCCCUUCGGGGUACUCGAGCGGCGAACGGGUGAGUAACACGUGAGUAAUCUGCCCCUAGCUCUGGGAUAGCUCCGGGAAAACCGGGAUUAAUACCAGAUACAACCACUUUAGACAUCUCUUGUGGUGGAAAGAAUUUCGGCUAGGGAUGAACUCGCGGCCUAUCAGCUUGUUGGUGAGGUAACGGCUCACCAAGGCAACGACGGGUA
rnacentral:rRNA from 1 species